AGAGUUUGAUCCUGGCUCAGGAUGAACGCUAGCGGGAGGCUUAACACAUGCAAGUCGAACGGUAACAGUUCCUUCGGGAAGCUGACGAGUGGCGCACGGGUGCGUAACGCGUAUGCAACCUGCCUUAAGCAGGGGGAUAGCCCAUGGAAACGUGGAUUAAUACCCCAUAAUAUAUAUGAAUCACCUGGUUUAUAUAUUAAAACUUCGGUGGCUUAAGAUGGGCAUGCGUAUGAUUAGCUAGUUGGUGAGGUAAUAGCUCACCAAGGCGACGAUCAUUAGGGGUUCUGAGAGGAUUAUCCCCCACACUGGUACUGAGACACGGACCAGACUCCUACGGGAGGCAGCAGUGAGGAAUAUUGGUCAAUGGGCGAGAGCCUGAACCAGCCAUCCCGCGUGCAGGAUGACGGCCCUAUGGGUUGUAAACUGCUUUUCUAUACCAAGAAAGGUUGCUACGUGUAGCAAAUUGACGGUAGUAUAGGAAUAAGCAUCGGCUAACUCCGUGCCAGCAGCCGCGGUAAUACGGAGGAUGCAAGCGUUAUCCGGAUUCAUUGGGUUUAAAGGGUGCGCAGGUGGGAAAGUAAGUCAGUGGUGAAAUCUUGCCGCUUAACGGUAAAACUGCCAUUGAUACUGCUUUUCUUGAGUAUGGUUGAGGUAGGCGGAAUGUGUUGUGUAGCGGUGAAAUGCAUAGAUAUGACACAGAACGCCGAUUGCGAAGGCAGCUUACUAAGCCAUUACUGACACUGAGGCACGAAAGCGUGGGGAGCGAACAGGAUUAGAUACCCUGGUAGUCCACGCUGUAAACGAUGAUCACUCGCUGUUUGCGAUACACCGUAAGCGGCUGAGCGAAAGCAUUAAGUGAUCCACCUGGGGAGUACGAUCGCAAGGUUGAAACUCAAAGGAAUUGACGGGGGCCCGCACAAGCGGAGGAACAUGUGGUUUAAUUCGAUGAUACGCGAGGAACCUUACCUGGGCUUAAAUGUAUACUGCAUAAAGUGGAAACACUUUUUCCCUUCGGGGCUGUUUACAAGGUGCUGCAUGGUUGUCGUCAGCUCGUGCCGUGAGGUGUCGGGUUAAGUCCCAUAACGAGCGCAACCCUUACCGUUAGUUGCCAUCAGGUCAAGCUGGGGACUCUAGCGGGACUGCCACCGUAAGGUGAGAGGAAGGUGGGGAUGACGUCAAAUCAGCACGGCCCUUAUGUCCAGGGCUACACACGUGUUACAAUGGUCGGUACAAAGGGCAGCUACCUGGCAACAGGAUGCUAAUCCCAAAAGCCGAUCCCAGUUCGGAUUGGAGUCUGCAACCCGACUCCAUGAAGUUGGAUUCGCUAGUAAUCGCGCAUCAGCCAUGGCGCGGUGAAUACGUUCCCGGGCCUUGUACACACCGCCCGUCAAACCAUGGGAGCUGGGGGUGCCUGAAGUCUGUUACCGAAAGGAGCGGCCUAGGGUAAAACUAGUAACUGGGGUUAAGUCGGAACAAGGUA
rnacentral:rRNA from 1 species